CAUUCUGUUUUAGCUCUGCAAGUUUCCGUUGUUGGCUGGAAAAGGGAAGGAGAGUAGAUCUGUUGGUUAUAAAACCACUUUGCUUAGGGUUCCUAGGUGUUUGCUUGGUUAAAAAAGAAAUAAAAGUGAAUCGGGGCCUAGGAGAAACAGUCACUGAACUACAACUCCCGGCAACUUCAGGAGACUGAGGACGCACUUCCGGCAGCUGUUUCGUGAUGUGUUGGAGGCUCUUGGCCAUCGCAAGGGACUGGACAAGAGGGUCGUUAACCUUCUGGCGCCGUGUAGUCGUCCUGAAUGAAGACCAGAAGAAAUUCAGAAGUGGGAACAGACAAAAGAGAAGAGACACAGAACAAGCACUGGAAAUACAAGGCAGAAACAAGGGGCACACCUGGGAGGCUGCAUACGCUGGCUGAGAAGAGAGCAUUCUUACCCUGAUUGUGUUACUUGUCUUAGAAGACCAGCUCUACCUGAAACAGGGAAAAGGUCAUAGGAGACUGCCUCUGCCUCGAAUUUUCUCCUGGUCCUUUUGGAUUUCCCAAGAAAGCUGGACACUCUUUUGGGCCCUUUUACUCAUUAGGUCAGGUGUUCCAGGAAGGCUGUUCUAGAAUGAAUGUCAGUGGAUACUAAGACUUGAGCCCCGUCAAGGUAACUUUAAUUUCUCCAGAAACUUUGGAAUUAGAGAGUAUUAUCUAAUAGUCCUUAUUCUACCUCUAAAGAGAGUCAGGUGAAGUGCCAGAAAGUAUCACCAUGGAAAUGAGCACAUUAAUCACCCUGGAGACCUUGAAAACUCUCGGUUUUCAGUAAUCACACCACAUCAGAGCUGGGUGUGGUUGGGGAAGAUACCACCCUGGGACAGGAGAGCAGUGACAGUUCUCCUUCAGUGUCCAGCAAAUGAACUUGACUUGUGCUGCAACUGUGGUCUCUCCCCCACCCCCUUCCACCUCCUCCCUACUUCAUUACCCCUUAUACUAUCCCCUCCCCAAAUGCCCUCAUUAUCUCUCACGGCUCAAUAUUUGACACGUUUCUUCCAGAGCUCCUUGCCUCAUUUUGGUUUAGGUGCCACUAUUCUCUCCUGGCCCUGGUUUCUGCUCCUCCUGCGCUCCCUUGGUGCCUCCUCCUCUGCCCAGCCCUUAAAUGGUGCAGUUUGUCUCAGGCCUCUUGUGCUCUCCUGAGGGAAUGUCAGCUGUUCACUAUCUCUCCCUCCUUAACCUAGUGUGUUUAAUUCUUAUUCCCAUCACUUUUCAGUGGUUCUGAAACUCCAAAUCUUGCAUAAGGAUCCCUUGGUUUUCAGAAGUGAAUUCCAUGAAAAUACAAUUUGCUAAGUCAUUCCUCCAGCUUUUAUUAAAUAACUGUUUUGUGAAAGCACUAAAAUCUGGGGGCACGUCAGGAGGCAUACACCCUUGCUGGUGAGGGGAGUAUAAUCUACUGCCACACAGGAUAUGUAGGUGCUAGAGUGAGCACAGGAGCAAGUUACAGGGAUUUGUGUAGAACCAUUACCUGUUACUAAGGACAAGUAGGCGCUCACAAAAUACAUUACAGUCAGGCAAAAUGGGUUAGAAAAGCUUUUCAGAGGAUAUGUAUCAUGACUCAGGUCUGCAUGUAAGAACUGGGAACAACUUGCUGGAAAGGAGAUGGCAGACUGGCUCCAGGUGACGAGACUUGGAGUAGAGGCUCAGUCCAUGUUCCCCACGCGCACAUCUAUGAGAAGGUUACACAUUUUCCUGUUUGGCCGCGUGUGCAUUGUGUGACCCAUAGAGGCAUGUGCAGAGUCUGGCUUAUUUACUGGAAUUCUCUCCAAUCUUCCAGUAAUCUUGACCAAACUUUCCCAUAAGGGCAUCUCCUCAUUUCUGGCCUUCCCCCUGGUACAGUCAGCAGGGAGUGUUCUCUCCCACACAGGCAUUUGUGCUCCUGCUUAGGGAAGCCCACAGCUAUGUACUGCAACUGAAGUCCAGGGACAGGCGGCAAAUCCCUACUUGACAAGUUUGAUUUGGAAAAAAAAAAAAUGAACUUUAGGUAAUGG